rnacentral:sRNA from 1 species
UUGAAUAAAACUGACCUAAGACAGUAGGGGAGCGGUGCUCAUAAUAGUCCUACCGAGGCACAAAACGUGAUUUAGAAAUAACGGUUUUGUACUUUCGUGUCUAGGUGUAGAUACGUUUUUUUGU